AUCUAUCUAACGAGUCCCAAAUAGGACGAAACAAGACUCCUGGAU
rnacentral:hammerhead_ribozyme from 1 species